UGCUGCAGCUACAAGUUGGCCAGUUCUCUGUUUUUCUCCAGGACUAGGAAUUGAACCCAGGGCCUUCACACUGAGCCAGAUAUUUUUUAUUUUUUACUUUGAGAGAAUCUUGCCAAGUUACGAAGUUACCCAAGCUGAGCUCCAACUUGCAACCCUCCUGCCUCAGACUCCCAGAGUGCUGGAAUUACAGGCAUGCAAAAUGCAAGAGUUCUGGGAGCAUGGAGGCUUCCACCCAGAUUUAAGAAGAACACCUGGGAGGUCCAUAAGUGAAGCUAUGAGACUGAAGCCAAAAGCACAGUGGAGCCACCCCACCAGGAGUUUGGAGCAUCGGCUAAGGGAAGCCACCAUAUGAGCAAAGCUGCCCCGAGAGAGAGGCCAUGAGGGCUACAACCAGCAAUGCUGUAGGGUGGAUUCACCAAGCCAUUUGACGCUCAGUCUUUUUCCCCAGGAGCAGUACAUGGAGCUACAGGAUUUCCAGCUUCUCCUUCUGGCUUUCAGACGUGCUUUGGCCCCAUUGCUUUGUACCCCCUCCCCAUUCUUUCCCUCUGGAAUAAGAAUAUUCACCCUGUGCCACCGGCUGUCAGUGGUGUGUAAACUACUUUUUGGUUUUCACAGGGGCUCACAGCUAAGUUUCCUACGAGAGUCAGAGUCAACUUCAGACUUGGAUUUUGCAGCAAUACUGGGACCAUGAAGGCUCCAGUGAGUUCUUCGAGGUGGACUACAUGCAUUUCGCAUAAAGAGAUGCACAUGAGUCUUUUGGGGCUGGGGCAGAAGGUCAUUACAGUUCAGAAUGAGGAUGUCUCCCAAAGCCUCGAGCACUCAGAGGUGGGAAUUUGCAGGGAGGGCUGUUGAACUGUUAGGGUGGGGGCUUAUCGCUGACUUGCUGUUAGGAUGCCGGGCCUGGUUAGAAGAGGGGACAACAGAGCUGUGGCUGGAAGUGUUCAUCUCCCUUCCUCCCUCCUCCUUCUCCACCCCUUAGCUCCUGGCAUGAAUGGCUUUCCCUGCCAGAUUAUUCUGGGGUGCCAUUUCCUCCUGGAGCCAGCAGAUGAUGGAGCAAACCUCCUGAAACUGUGCCUUCUGAUGAACCUCUCCUCCCUGAAGUUGUAGGUGCUGGGGACUUCAUCCCAGUGACGAGAGAAUUUCUAAGAUAAGAAGCCAUAAGCAGCAUUUCUUUACUAAGGAAUGACGGGAAGUCCACCAACUUGGUAAGGAGGGGAGAAAGAUAACAGUGUGACACGAAUUGUAUUUUUUCUCUUAUAAAGCAUUCAUAAAGACAAAUUUCUCAGACCCAGUCUCUGCUCACUGCAGAGCAGCCCCAGUUAGACUUCUGGACACCUGGAUGAGCUCAGGACCCUCCCUCUCCUGCUGGCCAGGGUCUCCCCUGUGACCACUGCCUACCUUCUCCUGGACAGGGAAAGAGCUGACCUCAUCUGCUGGACGCUGCAGACAGAAUGGUGAAGCCGGCUGCUGAUCCUGUUCGCUUCCCUUGGAGAGUUUAAACAAAGCCAGGCUAGUGUAGGGGCAGCAUCCCAUCGUGCGGGCUCUGAGGCCCUCAGUCUGUCUGCUGGGGAGAUGUCUGAGUAUUUAACUGACUUGCAGACCUUAGCUUGCCUUUCAACUAGGCUAACUGGGUCUGAGAAAAAUGUGCCUUUGGUUGUGAAAAUUCCCUUUUUAAAAUUAUUGGGUGCAUAAAGUGCCCCAGUGCUUUAUCUCAGCAUUUCAACUCUGAGAAUGUCAUCUGAAUUCCAUAGCCAGAAAAAUACACCAGGAUUUAUAUGAAAUACGUAACUGUUACUAUUUAAUUAUCAUUGCGAUAUUUGUGAAACAAUUCCACUAAAUGAAAAUAUUCAUUUAGUUUCCAUGGGUGGAAAAAUGGACAAAUCCAAUUGCUCUUGAUGCAAAUAAAUCUUCUACGGUGCAUCCACCCCAUAAAAUACACGGACAUAAAAGCAAUGUGUGCUAAAAAUUUUAAUAAUAUGGAAAAGAACACACAGUGGAAUGUUAAAGGGACAAUAGAAAUCGUGCACUGAAUGCAAAGUUGUCAUGAAUUAAGUGAGGACAUCAGUAGCACAGUGCUGAGACCAGGAGGCCCGAUGCCAAGGACUCAGAAGGCGCUGUAUAGGACCUCACCUGACGCAGGUCCAGAGAACGGGAAGAAACCAAGGUCAGGACCAAAGUCUUCACACAAGAUCCCAGGCCACUUUGCCCUUUAUACCUUCAUGAAUUUUCUAAAUUUUCUGCACGGAGUGUAGAAUGCAAUGCUAAUUAAAACAAAGCAGAAAGGAAGGAAGCUGCCAUCUCCUCAGUCAAAAUCUAGAAAGGAAAUAGGGGAACAGUGAAUUCCGUCAUUCACGACAUGAGGUGAACCGUGAACUACAGACAUGCACAGAAUGGAAUGUUCUCACUUAGGCCCCGACGGACUUUGUCUGUGUGAAGAGGUGGUUGUGGUUAAUUUUGUUGGAUGAUGAUUAUCCCAAUGACUGUUAAGUUGUUUAAAUUUUCUGAUGGACAGUGGGAGCUGACGGUAGAAAAGCUUUGCUUUCAAGUGUGUAGGAAUAUAUGUGUCCACGUGUGGGGUGCAGGGAGAGAAAGACAGACAGAAGAUGUGUACCUAUGUUUGUUGCUUUUUCCCAAAUCCUGGAUUUACCAUAUUGGACGAAGUUUGUAAGACAAACUGAUUUGUGAUGCGCUGUCAACAAUUAUAUCUAAGUGAAAAAUAUCUGAAAAAACCCUG